UACGGAGGGUGCAAGCGUUAUCCGGAUUCACUGGGUUUAAAGGGUGCGUAGGUGGGCAGGUAAGUCCGUGGUGAAAUCCCUGAGCUUAACUCGGGAACUGCCAUGGAUACUAUUUGUCUUGAAUAUUGUGGAGGUAAGCGGAAUAUGUCAUGUAGCGGUGAAAUGCUUAGAUAUGACAUAGAACACCAAUUGCGAAGGCAGCUUACUACACAGUUAUUGACGCUCAUGCACGAAAGCGUGGGGAUCAAACAGG
rnacentral:rRNA from 1 species